UUCCGUGCAUAUGUAAACACAGACUUUGCAACACCACCUUGUAUGAAUUCGCCUUGUUAAAAACCAACAAAUAAAAAAAGCGAAACGAAGGGAUCAAGAAGGGAUAAUAAUUCGAGAGAAAAGCGGAAAAAAUAAUUGGGAAUUGAAAUUUUUUUCUCAAAAUACUUGGUGGAAUCUGAACGUUUCUAAAAUAUUUGUGCAUCAAGAUCAAGAUUGGUGUGUUUGUUGUGAGAAUCUGCAUUACUUCGUUCAAAUUUGUUUAGUUUAUUAUUUAGGAUUUAUGCCGGUGACAAACACGAUGUAGCGAAAUGGUUAUGCUAAAUUUUGUUCACGGAAUCAAAUCAUUAGCAUGCAGAUAAAUGCGCACUUCACCCCUUAACAAUUGGUAUUUUUAAUGUCAAGUCUAAGUUCCAUGGGUAAGACAUCGCCUUUCGCUGCUGCCCACAUUUUCCAGUUGGAUACCUUUAAGUCCAUUUUUCUAAGUUUUAACAUUCUAUUUGUAAGCAAAAUGUAUUUAACAUUUAAUACACGUUGUUUGUACGUCUAUAAAUCUAUAUUUUGUUUGAUUAUACUAUAUACUGUUACUCACAAAAU